rnacentral:rRNA from 1 species
GAUGAACGCUGGCGGCGUGCCUAAUACAUGCAGGUCGAGCGAACAGACGAGGAGCUUGCUCCUCUGACGUUAGCGGCGGACGGGUGAGUAACACGUGGAUAACCUACCUAUAAGACUGGGAUAACUUCGGGAAACCGGAGCUAAUACCGGAUAAUAUAUUGAACCGCAUGGUUCAAUAGUGAAAGACGGUUUUGCUGUCACUUAUAGAUGGAUCCGCGCCGCAUUAGCUAGUUGGUAAGGUAACGGCUUACCAAGGCAACGAUGCGUAGCCGACCUGAGAGGGUGAUCGGCCACACUGGAGCUGAGACGCGGUCCAGACUCCUACGGGAGGCAGCAGUAGGGAAUCUUCCGCAAUGGGCGAAAGCCUGACGGAGCAACGCCGCGUGAGUGAUGAAGGUCUUCGGAUCGUAAAACUCUGUUAUUAGGGAAGAACAAAUGUGUAAGUAACUAUGCACGUCUUGACGGUACCUAAUCAGAAAGCCACGGCUAACUACGUG